GGCCUAUUUAAUUCCUUUCCGAUAAUUCUGAUGCUGAUAUAGGUUUUUCAGAUAUUUAGUAGCGCCACAACAUUUUGAGUAAUAUUUCUUUCCAUAGACGGUUUUACCAACUCAGUUCUGAAAAUUGAAUCGCGUUGCGAAAUCGGAUUCGCUGUGUCUGGGUCUUUACAGUAUCAUUUCGAAGUUUCAGAACAUAAACUAAACAUCGUCAUUUUCUUGUCAGUUGUCUACUUGUGUGAACUCUCCGUGCGCGAGAAUGUGCGCAAUUUAUGCCUUUGAGUAAACAAGGAGGC